rnacentral:misc_RNA from 1 species
GAAGUCGUUACUUUAACCCUUGUGGAGAAGGAUGCCGAAGGUGGGGCUGAUGACUGGGGUGAAGUCGUAACAAGGUAGCCGUACCGGAAGGUGCGGCUGGAUCACCUCCUAACAGGGAGACAAUAAAUUGGUUGUGAUGUCUAAGUUAUUUAUUCUUAGGCCGCAAUCCUGUCACCUUAAGGUCGAUCGGUACCUCAGAUUUUUGAAUUAGUUUUAUAAUUGAUUCUUUGAUUUCAGUUCCUAAACUUGUCUAGGUCACACCCAACAAAGUUUCUCCUGGGCCAUUAGCUCAGGUGGUUAGAGCGCACCCCUGAUAAGGGUGAGGUCCCUGGUUCAAGUCCAGGAUGGCCCAUUCGGUGUUGGGGGUUUAGCUCAGUUGGUAGAGCGCCUGCUUUGCAAGCAGGAUGUCAGGAGUUCGAGUCUCCUAACCUCCACUGACCGAACUCGAUCUCCGGUUUUGCAUUGAAAGAUGGAGAGCCACUCGAUUGUGAUGUGUGAUUUAGAUGUGUCCGCUGGAUGACCCCAGCUUCCUGUCAUUCCAAAUCGAAGUAAAUUAGUUUACUUAGAUGAAUUUGGUUGAUAAGAUGCUGGGCUCGAGUUCAGUGAUCAAGAGAUUGGUCAUUGGGUUUGAAGUCUGGCAGAACCUUGACAACUGCAUAGGUAAGUCUGGAAAAACAAAGCAUCUUACAGAUGCAUUGUUUUGAAUCUGAUCUUCUGAAAGGGAGAUUGGAUCUAGAACAAUGAAAAUUCUUUUGAGCAAGAGCCGUGACUCUUGAGCGUUCUUUGAUUCGUGUCGAGCGAAUCAGAGUUUGAUCUUGUUUUAGGAAUCAUCGAAAGUUGAUGAUUAAAACUUGAGAAUCUGCUUUCAACGGCGGUAAGCGUUCAGGAGAUUAAUUGGUCAAGCUACAAAGGGCUCACGGCGGAUACCUUGGCACACAGAGGCGAUGAA